CUCCCUCCCUCCUCACUCCGUCACUCUGCAUCCACGCUGCCUCCGCCGCAUCUCCGGUGUCUCGCAUCUCUCACAUAUUUGCCUCUGCAAAUUAGGGUUCUAAUUGAACCCCAAAUUGAAUGAAGCACCAGAUUGGUGCUUCGAGAACCCGCAUUUCUCGACCUGAAGCACCAAUUUUGGGUUUAUUUCUCUCUAAUUAGGUUUAUUUCUACUGGGUUUUGUUUUCACUAAUUUUGGGUUUUUGAUUUUUGAACAGAUCUUGAGGUUUGGGGCUUGAAGAGCUUGAAGAGUUUACUGAGCUCACGAAUGUUAUACGUAUAUGGGGUCUUCGAAUAUUGCUGCCAUUUUGAGAGGACGGGCUAUUUUGUUGAAGAUGGAUAAAGGGUGGGAUUGGUUUGUUACUUUAAGUACUUUGGAUUAUCCUUUGAUUACGAAAGAUGAUAUGAAUUAUGAUUAUGAUCCUCCCCCUUUUCUUGUUUUUUGAUUGCGUUAUAACUUUUAUGUGAAUUGUUAAAGAUUCUUGAUUUGUUUAGUUAACGGGGUUUGUUGUUUUGCCUAGUUUGGUAGAUUUAAUUGAAUUGGGAAGUUGUUGAAUUAGGCGGUUUAGUGUUUGGUUAAAUUAAGCUUUGGAUGAACUCCGUCACUCUGCAUCCACGCUGCCUCCGCCGCAUCUCCGGUGUCUCGCAUCUCUCACAUAUUUGCCUCUGCAAAUUAGGGUUCUAAUUGAACCCCAAAUUGAAUGAAGCACCAGAUUGGUGCUUCGAGAACCCGCAUUUCUCGACCUGAAGCACCAAUUUUGGGUUUAUUUCUCUCUAAUUAGGUUUAUUUCUACUGGGUUUUGUUUUCACUAAUUUUGGGUUUUUGAUUUUUGAACAGAUCUUGAGGUUUGGGGCUUGAAGAGCUUGAAGAGUUUACUGAGCUCACGAAUGUUAUACGUAUAUGGGGUCUUCGAAUAUUGCUGCCAUUUUGAGAGGACGGGCUAUUUUGUUGAAGAUGGAUAAAGGGUGGGA
rnacentral:lncRNA from 1 species